UUUUUUUUUUUUUAAGAAUUAUUUUUUUGUGACAGUAGAAGGAAACCAUGUUUUUAAAUGCUGUUUCCAUGCUCACACACCAUAGUGAAAGAUGAUGCCUUUCUGUCUCAAAAUAAAAGAAAAUGUGUUAGACGUCUCAUGACAAAUAAAUUUCUUCUGAAACCCUUUUUAAUGGAUGCUGCUGAUGCCCUGCCCAGAUAGACCCUUUUAUCAGGCUAGCACACCCAGCCCCCAGCUACUCUUAAGUGUUGACUGCUUAUGGCUCAGGGCUUCCCUUUCUCUGGAGAAUUGACCUCUGCCCAGUGGAGCUGGCUAUCCCAGAGAUGUCUGGAAACAGCCCUCACUUUGGCUUGCAGCCAAUGACUGCCUGAUACUGUAAAGGCCACAGCCCCUUGUCUGAAGGGGGUUAAUUGUAUGGUGUUAUUAUGUUCUAGAGGUAGGCUCCUGCUAAGGAUAGCUUUGCUAUCCUUAAAAGAGCUUUGCUGCUCUUUUCCUGACUUCUCCUCUCCCCUUACUUCCUUAAUCCACUCUUCCUGAGAGCUCCUCCAAUAAGUCACUUGUACAAGAAUCCCUGUCUCAGGCUCUGCUUCUGGGGAACCCCACCUAAGAUACCCUUCAAUUAAUAGAGGACGUAUUAAUGUAUUCUAGGUGCUACAGAGUAGCAUGAAAAACUUGGUAUAUUUGCUGUUCAACAUUUCUAAUGUCAUUUGAGACUUAUUUGAUUCAUUAUAUAUUCUUUAAGAUUUUUAAUUUAUUUAUUUGAGAGAGACAUAGAGAGCACAAGCAAAGGGAGAGAAAGAGGGAGAGGGAGAAGCAGGACCCCCCGCUGAGCUAGGAACCCGAUGUGGGGCUCGAUUCCAGGACCUGGGAUCAUGACUUGAGUUGAAGGCAGACACUUAACCAUCUGAGCCAUCCAGGCGUCCCUGACCCAUGAUUUAAAAGUGUGUUGUUUUGGGGCACCUGGGUGGCUCAGUCAGUUAAGUGUCCAACUCUUGAUUUCUGGUCAGAUCGUGAUCUCAGGGUUGUGAGAUUGAGCCUCAGGUCCAGCUCCACACUGACCAUGGAGCCUGCUUAAGAUUGUUUCUCUCCCUCUCUGUCUGCCCCUCCCCAUCCCUGCUUAUGCUCUCUCUCUCUCUAAAAAUAAAUAAAUAAAUAAAUAAAAGUGUGUUGUUUAAUUUCCUAGUGUUUGGAGAUAUUCCUGUAAUCAUUCUUUUAUGGAUUUUUAGAUUAAUUCCAUUAUGGUAAGAGAAUAUAUUUUGUAUUAUGUAUCAGUAUUGGUCCAAUAAUAAAUGAAGAACCACUAGUAUAUCUAUAUAGUAUAUAGUAUAGUGUGUG
rnacentral:lncRNA from 1 species